GCCAGGCAAGCUCAGUUGGUAGAGCAUGGGACUCUUGAUCUCAGAAUCAUGGGUUUGAGCCCCACACUGGGUG